rnacentral:rRNA from 1 species
AAGCUCGUAGUUAAUCUUCUGUUAAUUUUUAUAUAUAAUGUUACGAUAUUUAUAUAAUAUUAACAUAAUUCAUAUUACUUUUUAGUAUAUGAAACUUUACUUUGAGAAAAUUAGAGUGCUUAAAGCAGGCUAUUGCCUUGAAUACUCCAGCAUGGAAUAAUAUUAAGGAUUUUUAUUCUUCUUAUUGGUUCUAGAAUAAAAAUGAUGAUUAAUAGGGACAGUUGGGGGCAUUUGUAUUUAACAGUCAGAGGUGAAAUUCUUAGAUUUGUUAAAGACAAACUACUGCGAAAGCAUUUGCCAAGGAUGUUUUCAUUAAUCAAGAACGAAAGUUAGGGGAUCGAAGACGAUCAGAUACCGUCGUAGUCUUAACCAUAAACUAUGCCAACUAGAGAUUGGAGGUUGUUCCUU